rnacentral:misc_RNA from 1 species
CGACCCUAAAUUAGCAGUAGCUGAUGUCAACAUGGGCAAAAGCUAGCGAUUUCGCUUUUGCUACUAGACAAUUAACCAAAGCCAGCACCUGCUACUUACCUAACCAACUUACUGUUUUAUGAAGAAAGGUAGACCAAACGAAAAAGACCAGUGGAAUAGAACAGCUUGUAUAAACUUCCCCGAGCUAAUUUUCCAGGCCUAUUGCAGAGGAUCAGACGGACACAACAAUAAUAGAUAUGACAUAUUUAUAUCUGCCUUAGCCAAGAUUCCGUUUGCCUUGAGAUGCUCCACCCACCAAUAAAUGUAAAAUGGGCAAUUGCCUUCGAAAGCUCCAUGUUCCACAGUUCACAGGCUGCUAAUCAAGCUGCUCAAUUUAACAACUGUAACGACUGCAAAUUGUACAUUUAUCCCAUGUCUUGUAAGCAAAUGUAUGGUAAUGAUAUAUAAAUUGAUGUUUAAGAUACUUUCCAUUAUUGCUUUCAUAUCCAACAAAUUGCAUCAGCUUUUAUGAACAGAUAGUCUAAUUGAAGACCACUCUGAAUGACAAGCAAGCACAGUGGAAAUUUAUUCCCUAUAUGUAUCCAAAGGGGGGAAAAUGAAAAUCCCAGACCCUGUAAUACAAGGUCAAAAUCAGCUUAUUGGAUUUUUUCAUGACAAACACAUGCGUCAUGAUGAUUUUCAUUUGUUUGAACUCAAGCAUACGAAUCAUCCACAUUACACUCCCCAAGGAACACCUUGAUGCUGCGCGGUGAACCACAACUACCUUCAGCUAUAAGUGCUCUGUCAUUGGCAGCCAUGUGUGCAACAAUCUUGUAUAUCAUUUCAACAUCUUCUUCUUCAUGGCAACGUUCAGCUACUUCCUCAAGCGUCAAUGGUUCAACAGGCUCUUUACAACUUGCCUCAUUGAGUACUGCCAAAACCCGCUUCUGAAGAGCUAAUACUUCUCCUGCUGCCUUUUUCCCAGCUUCCACACCAGGUUGGUGGUAAGCAUUGAUGUUGAUGAGUGAGGCAUAUAUCCCAACUGCUCUCUCAUAAAGCGCAACAAGGGCCCCCACAGAUCUAGGCGUCACUUCUUGCACUGUAACUGUUAUGGACUCCCUGUCAUUAGCAUACAGUGCUGACCUAGUUCCCUGUAGCAUCCCAAAUAGGUAGUCACCACAUGUGACACCAGGUUCAAGUUCCCAAUCAUGACCAGGAGGUCUAUCACGUAGCACUUCAAUAAAUGUCACAAAGAAAUUGUGCACACCCUCUCUCAGUUGUUGAAUGUAGGCAUGUUGAUCUGUGCUCCCUUUAUUUCCAUAGACUGUAAGUCCUUGAUUCACCCGAUUACCAUCAAGGUCAAACUCCUUCCCAAGUGAUUCCAUGACCAAUUGCUGCAAAUACCUACUAAAUAAUAAUAGGCUGUCCUUGUAUGGAAGGACAACCAUGUCCUUAGAUCCUAUCCCAUCAGAGGCCCAGUACCAACACAAAGCUAGCAUAGCUGCAGGGUUAUCCCUAAGCACAGUGGUCCUAUUUGCCUCAUCCAUCAAUGAUGCACCAGCAAGCAUUUCUCUAAUGUCAAUCCCCUGAAGAGCUGCUGGAAGCAGGCCAACUGCAGACAUUUCAGAUGUCCUACCGCCCACCCAAUCAAACAUAGGGAAUCUAGCUAACCAACCCUCAAUUCUAGCAGUGUUGUCUAAUAAUGAAUUUUCUUGAGUGAUAGCAACUCCCUGAAUCAAAUUAUGCAUAUCAAUUUCACAACCUAAAAAACAGGGGAGAGAAACUACACACAAGGUACAGGUAAACUAUAUAAAAGCAUAACUCCUCCAAUAUAUAGCAGCAAAGCUGGAAAAAAUAUUGAAUGUUUUCAUAUAAAACAAAGAACUAAGUGCUUUCAAAAACAAUUGAUGACUUUAUUUAUCACCUCUAUUACAUAAUCAGAUAAGUACUGCUAUGAUCUCAUGGAUGGUCAAUGAAAUGUGGAAAACUAGUUGCCAAGGUUUGAAACCAUAUAACACUAAACAUUUCUAUGAAACAUUUGAAAAGUAGUUCAAGCAACGAAAAUUUCAGCAGAUGCUGGGAGGUAAAAUCAAUGAAUUUCUCACUAUGUAAUGAUUAUGAAACCAAGAUUCUUCAAGGGGAAAAAAAAGGGGCCCCAUUAAACCAUAUACUAUGACGAGUAUUUGCACCCAUAUUGUCCUGUUUCGCAAAUUCCAGGCCAGCAUCACGGAAUGCCUUCUGUACUUCCAACAAACCAUUUCUAGUUUCAGGGGUACCUCCACUCUUUGAAAUCACUAUUACAAGAGUAGAAGCCAACUCAGGGCCAAGCUGAGCAAUCUGAUGAUCAAUUCCAGCUGGAUCUGUAUUAUCAAUGAAUCUUAUCUUGAGAGGAGGAUUAUCAGGCGCCAGAGCCUCCGCAACAAAUUGUGGUCCAAGAGCUGAACCUCCGAUCCCAACAGAGAGAAUUUGAGUAAAACGGCCUUCUGGCGAAGAUGGUGGCUUAAUCUGCAUCAAUGUGGGAAAAAAAAAAAGAAACAGACAAUAAUACAAGGAAAAGCAUUACCUCAAUAACUUCUUCAACACCCAAACUAGCAUGCAUUCAAAAUCAUAAAUGCAGCUGAUAUCCUAAAACUAUAAUGAAUAAUACCAGGAGUUCUCAUACCUCAAAUUUCCACCUCCACCCAAAUAACCGAUUCUAACGCAUUAAAACAAACUGAGAAAAGCAAAAUCAUUGUCACACGACUAACCUUACCACUGACGACUUCAUCAGCGAACUUGCAAACGGCAUCAAGUGUCUGGUCAAUCUGCGUUUUCAAAAAAGAGUUUGGAGCGAGGCUCGAAUUCCUCAACCAAUAAUGCCCAACCAUCCUCCCUUCAUCGGGAUUCGCAAUCGCGCCUUUCUCCAGCUCCUCCAUGUCCUUAAACGCCUUCUGUAAUCGGGGCUCCAUAUCCCUCACAAACUCGUCGUGGAAGCCGAUCCGGCUUACGUCCAAAUACAGUCCUAGCUCCUUGUGUUGGUAGAGCCAGUCCACGUAUCUCCUCCAUAGAGCGGUAGGAUCUUUUGUCAACCCUUGUUUCGGCUUACUCGGCAACUUAUCAUUUGUCUCCGAUGAAUCAGAGGAGAUCUCGCGAGCUAUGGACUGAAUUGGCUCGAGUCGAGAGCGAGUUGGAAAUGCGAGUGAGGUCUUAAGGGGCGUGGAAUUGAUAGUGGUUUUUAGAAGAGGGGUUUUGGGCUUGAGAGAAGGGGAAGAGGAGCAGAGGCCGGAGAGGGAGGCCAUUGAGAAACGACGCCGUCGACUGUUACGAGAGAGGGAGAGAGAGAAGAGUACUAAGGCAAGGAUAGGGGUGUAAACGAACAAAGCCGAGUCGAGUUUUAGCUUGUUCAGGCUUUUUCUCGUUAAUAUUGAUCCAGGCUCGAGUUUGGUUCGAGCUUUAAUAUUAAUGCUCGAGCUCUACUCGUUUGAAAUAUGUUGAAUUCAAACUUGAUUCGAGCUUAAUUCAUUUUAAGUCCGUUUAUUAUAUUAAUGAGCCAAACUUAAGCUCGACUCGUGUCAAGCUCGAUAAACUCAUUAAAAUGAACUCGAACACAAGCUUGAUAAAGAUCAAGCACGGUUCGAGUUUGAUAAGCUCGAUCUCAAAUUCGAUAAGCUCGAGCUUGAGCUCAAGCUCGAG